rfam:Cedecea davisae DSM 4568 genomic scaffold Scaffold0, whole genome shotgun sequence.
UAGAUGUCACUCCAGACCAUAUCGUAAACUCCUGAUAACUCAUGUGUUAAACGUUUGCCUUCGCUAACUCCUGGGGCAACACGUUGGUUGCAGGCCUGUCGGGAAUGCGACAUACAGCGGGAGGAGGGCGUUGCCGGGCGAUACGCGGUAAAUUAGCGAAGGAUUUUGGCUUAUCCCGGAGCAAAGUGGAAGAGGGAAAACCGAGAUCUGUGCAAAUCCAGCAGGAUUUUUAUCGCCAAUUGUGGGAAAAUCACCCCACUUACACUUUGUAGGGAAAUAAAGGAGCUUACGAUGAGUACCGAUCUGAAGUUUUCCGUGGUGACCACGGUUGUCGUACUGAGCUUGAUUGUUGCCGGUGCGCUAACCGCCGUACUGCACUGAUUU